GACAUGUCUGUGAUCUGGGUCAUCUGAUUUCUCAUUGGGAGUUUUGCUGUCUCAUGUUUAUGAUAUCCAUGCACAUUGCAUUAGAAUCUGGGUGCCUAAAUGUUAUUACCCGUGCUUUAGAUACAAAUCAGACCAUACAUUGAAAGUUUAUUUUCUUUUCAUGACUAGACUAGCUGCUGCAUUAGAUUGGUAGCGUAAAUAUUGUUUUUGGAAUACGACUUGCCUUGGCAGGGAAACAAGUACAGCUUGUCCCUUUCAAAAUGAUGAGUGGCGUUUAGACACCAAUGCUAUUUCAGACUAAUUUGUUGUUCAUAUCAAAAGGUUCUGUGAGCAUUUAUUUGGUCGAUGUCUUCUAAUAGAAGAAAUAUUUUUGUUCUGACAGCUCUCUUUUCAGAGCAAAGUGAUUAUGAAAUUUAAAGAGUCCGUCAUACUACUGCUAAGGGAGGGAAGUUUAUGCGAAGGUUCAAGAUUGAUGAUUGACAAUCAAGAGGGUUGGGAUCUGAACUGUUGAUCUGAUGGUUACCUAAUGUGGAUUGGGAGGCCAUAACCCUCCAUAUUUGGUCUCUCACUUUUAACGAGAACUGGUGCUGUGCCUUUUCCUUCUGUUUGUAGGAGACCAUAUCAGAGGGUUAGGAUCUUCCAAUUUUGAAUCUUCUCCAUAUCAUCCCCAAUCUGGUGGGUGCCCAUUUGAUCAGAAGUCUUGGCCCUGGAGUCAUGGCCCCACAUGUACAGGAUUCCUGCACUUGGGCAAACUAAACAUUUGUUCAUGACCAAGAUCAUGGGAUCCUUUGUAGCCUGCAGCUUGUAUUCUCUUGCCUUCAGACCGUCUUUAAUAAAUUUCAUUAUCUUAAAAAAAAAA